UGGGGACUUUCAUCUAUGCCUAACUGGAACCUAGAUUUGGCAUCCGCAAUGAAACCAUAUAGCUGGCCCCUCAUGUAAUCUCGGUAAGUACUGGAGAUAAUUCUAGGUGUUCUCUGCUAAGAAAAGGACGUGAUUAUGAUAAUAACCAUCUGGCAAAGUUUGGUCCAUACUUUGUCUGUGAUGGGCCAUAUUUGUUGCUUCUACUUGAUAGGUGGUAUUUUA
rnacentral:lncRNA from 1 species